UGGUUUCCUAUUCUACCUUUUGUGACACCUUUGACUCGAUAAAUUAUUGAAAACAGGUUACCAAGUGAGCAAAGUGAACCAUGCUCUGAUACCACCUUAGUUGUAACACCCCCGAUCCAGAAAAAGUAAACGUUAAUUAGUUUUCCAUGCACCAAUCAAACAAGAACAUGCACGACAAACUAAAGAACUCUAACCAGAUCAAAGAUACUACUACCACGUGCCCAAACAUUUGAUCCAAGGUUCCCGGAUCAGAUCCGAAAUCCCAAGAUCAUAUGUCCAAGAACGGGUUUCCUAGCGAUUCCAAGUUAAGGCUUUGUAACCCGAGUUUGAAACCGUUAGUUAGUUAACCCGGACUAGGACUAGUAUCAUAUGGAAUCCAAGCAUUUCACAAACCUUUUCUUAUUCAUAUAUACUUUAAGUUCAACUACAUCAAAACUUUAUACAUGCUCGUUCGAUGUUCAAAACCAUAUCUUACAUAUUACAAAACGUACAUGUUUGCAAAAGGUAGCAAAUCUACACCAACAGCUUUGUGCUCCUCCGAUCCCAAAUGGAAGCUACUACGAGUUACCUAC
rnacentral:lncRNA from 1 species